rnacentral:lncRNA from 1 species
CAUAGCCAACUAAAGAGGGCUUUUUAGUUGACACUGUUCAUGUUGUCGUAACCAUAUUGUGAAUUUACACACCUGUUUGCCUCAUGUUGCCAAAAACUUAUUGUGAAUUUGCACACACUUUCACCCUAUCUACUAGCUAAUGUAGCUAAAGACCAUCACAACAAACAUGAAAAAUACUACAUAUGUUUCAACAUUCUAAUUUCAGACAGGUAGUUGGAUGGGAACAACAGACAAGUUGGAAGCAAAGCUAUCUGAAAAUUCAUCACGUUAAACUUCCAACGAUUAGCUGUGCUGUAAAAAGUUGGUUGACUUCCGAUCCAAACAA